rnacentral:precursor_RNA from 11 species
AGUGAUUUCAUUUCAAAGCCUACUCCAAUUCUGGGUAUUUUAGAUCCUUGGCAUAGUUACGUGAUUGAAUGCACUGUUCUUCUUUGGUUUACCCAGUAUCGAACACGCGUCAAUCUGUCAGAUCUACUUAAUACCCAUAAAUUGUGGCUUGGCUGUGGCAACUUACAUAUU